rnacentral:misc_RNA from 1 species
GAUGAAGAACGUAGCAAAAUGCGAUACUUGGUGUGAAUUGCAGAAUCCCGUGAACCAUCGAGUCUUUGAACGCAAGUUGCGCCUCAAGCCAUUAGGUUGAGGGCACGUCUGCCUGGGCGUCACAUAUCGUUGCCUGAUGCCAGUUUCCUCGUGAUGGGUGACUGUGCAGGGCGAAUGAUGGCUUCCCGUGAGCAUUGUUGCCUCAUGGUUGGUUGAAAAUUGAGUCCUUGGUAGGGAGCGCCGUGAUAGAUGGUGGUUGAGUGACGAACGAGACCCAAUCAUGUGAGACCCCUACCGAAUUUGGCCUUCAUGACCCACAUGCGUCUUUGGAACGCUCAUGACGAUACCUCAGGUCAGGCGGGGCUACCCACUGAGUUUAAGCAUAUCAAUAAGCGGAGGA